rnacentral:rRNA from 1 species
UACGUAGGGGGCAAGCGUUAUCCGGAUUUACUGGGUGUAAAGGGAGCGUAGACGGCAUGGCAAGUCAGAUGUGAAAGCCCGGGGCUCAACCCCGGGACUGCAUUUGAAACUGUCAGGCUGGAGUGCAGGAGAGGUAAGUGGAAUUCCUAGUGUAGCGGUGAAAUGCGUAGAUAUUAGGAGGAACACCAAUGGCGAAGGCGGCUUACUGGACUGUAACUGACGUUGAGGCUCGAAAGCGUGGGGAGCAAACAGG